UACGUAGGUGGCAAGCGUUGUCCGGAUUUACUGGGCGUAAAGAGCGCGCAGGCGGUCGAUCAAGUCGCGUGUGAAAGCCCCCGGCUCAACUGGGGAGGGUCACGCGAUACUGAUCGACUCGAAGGCAGGAGAGGGUAGUGGAAUUCCCGGUGUAGUGGUGAAAUGCGUAGAUAUCGGGAGGAACACCAGUGGCGAAGGCGACUACCUGGCCUGUUUCUUGACGCUGAGGCGCGAAAGCUAGG
rnacentral:rRNA from 1 species